rnacentral:rRNA from 1 species
AGUGAACGCUGGCGGUAGGCCUAACACAUGCAAGUCGAACGGCAGCACAGUAAGAGCUUGCUCUUACGGGUGGCGAGUGGCGGACGGGUGAGGAAUACAUCGGAAUCUACUUUUUCGUGGGGGAUAACGUAGGGAAACUUACGCUAAUACCGCAUACGACCUACGGGUGAAAGCAGGGGAUCUUCGGACCUUGCGCGAUUGAAUGAGCCGAUGUCGGAUUAGCUAGUUGGCGGGGUAAAGGCCCACCAAGGCGACGAUCCGUAGCUGGUCUGCGAGGAUGAUCAGCCACACUGGAACUGAGACACGGACCAGACUCCUACGGGAGGCAGCAGUGGGGAAUAUUGGACAAUGGGCGCAAGCCUGAUCCAGCCAUACCGAGUGGGUGAAGAAGGCCUUCGGGUUGUAAAGCCCUUUUGUUGGGAAAGAAAAGCAGCAGGUUAAUACCCCGCUGUUCUGACGGUACCCAAAGAAUAAGCACCGACUAACUUCGUG